GACGAACGCUGGCGGCGUGCUUAAUACAUGCAAGUCGAACGGACAGGCCCUGCUUUUGUUGCUUUCUCGAUUGGCGAACGGGUGAGUAACACGUGUGUAACCUUCCCUUUUCUUUCUGAUAACUUCUCGAGACUCGGGCUAAUACCGGAUAUGAUCUCCUGCUGCAUUGUGUUGGUUGGAAAGUUUCGGCUGUUGGGGAUGGUCUCGCUGCUUAUCAGCUUGCUUGUGUGGUAGUGGCUUACCAAGGCUUUGACGGGUAGCCUGCCUGAGAGGGUGACCGGGGACAGUGGGACUGAGAGACGGAGCAGAAUGGUACGGGAGGCAGCAGUGGGGAACAUUGCAGAAUGGGGGGAAGCGUGAGGCAGAAACGCCGCGAGCGGGAUGACGGCCUACGGGUGGAAAACAGAUGUGGAAGGUGAUGAAGAGGGAGUGACGGUAAUGGGUAAAAAAGCAACGGCUAACUACGUG
rnacentral:rRNA from 1 species